rnacentral:rRNA from 1 species
UGGGGAAUAUUGGGCAAUGGGCGCAAGCCUGACCCAGCAACGCCGCGUGAAGGACGAAGGCCUUCGGGUUGUAAACUUCUUUGAUCAGGGACGAUAAUGACGGUACCUGAAGAACAAGCCACGGCUAACUACGUGCCAGCAGCCGCGGUAAUACGUAGGUGGCAAGCGUUAUCCGGAUUUACUGGGUGUAAAGGGCGUGUAGGCGGUUCUGCAAGUCGGAAGUGAAAUUCCCGGGCUUAACCCGGGCGCUGCUCCCGAAACUGCAGAACUUGAGUACUGGAGAGGAUAGUGGAAUUCCUAGUGUAGCGGUAAAAUGCGUAGAUAUUAGGAGGAACACCAGUGGCGAAGGCGGCUAUCUGGACAGUAACUGACGCUGAGGCGCGAAAGCGUGGGGAGCAAA